UACGUAGGGGGCAAGCGUUGUCCGGAAUCAUUGGGCGUAAAGCGCGUGUAGGCGGCUCGAUAAGUCUGCUGUGAAAGUCCAGGGCUCAACCCUGGAAUGCCGGUGGAAACUGUCGAGCUAGAGUCCGGAAGAGGCGAGUGGAAUUCCUGGUGUAGCGGUGAAAUGCGCAGAUAUCAGGAGGAACACCAAUGGUGAAGGCAGCUCGCUGGGACGGUACUGACGCUGAGACGCGAAAGCGUGGGGAGCAAACAGG
rnacentral:rRNA from 1 species